UACAGAGGUCUCAAGCGUUGUUCGGAUUCAUUGGGCGUAAAGGGUGCGUAGGCGGCGCCGUAAGUCAGGUGUGAAAUUUCGGAGCUUAACUCCGAAACUGCAUUUGAUACUGCGGUGCUUGAGGACUGGAGAGGAGACUGGAAUUUACGGUGUAGCGGUGAAAUGCGUAGAUAUCGUAAGGAAGACCAGUGGCGAAGGCGGGUCUCUGGACAGUUCCUGACGCUGAGGCACGAAGGUCAGGGGAGCAAACGGG
rnacentral:rRNA from 1 species